AUUGAACGCUGGCGGCAUGCUUUACACAUGCAAGUCGAACGGUAACAGGGUGCUUGCACCGCUGACGAGUGGCGAACGGGUGAGUAAUGCGUCGGAACGUGCCGAGUAGUGGGGGAUAACGCAGCGAAAGUUGUGCUAAUACCGCAUACGUACUGAGGUAGAAAGUGGGGGACCUUCGGGCCUCACGCUAUUCGAGCGGCCGACGUCUGAUUAGCUAGUAGGUGAGGUAAAGGCUCACCUAGGCGACGAUCAGUAGUGGGUCUGAGAGGAUGAUCCGCCGCACUGGGACUGAGACACGGCCCAGACUCCUACGGGAGGCAGCAGUGGGGAAUUUUGGACAAUGGGCGAAAGCCUGAUCCAGCCAUGCCGCGUGUCUGAAGAAGGCCUUCGGGUUGUAAAGGACUUUUGUCAGGGAGGAAAUACCUAGUGCUAAUAACACUGGGGGAUGACAGUACCUGAAGAAUAAGCACCGGCUAACUACGUGCCAGCCGCCGCCGUAA
rnacentral:rRNA from 1 species